GAGGGUAUAGCUCAAGUGGUAGAGUGCAUGCUUAGCAUGCACAAGGUCCUAGGUUCAAUCCCCAGUACCUCCU
rfam:Camelus ferus unplaced genomic scaffold scaffold731, whole genome shotgun sequence.